AACGAACGCUGGCGGCAGGCUUAACACAUGCAAGUCGAGCGCCCCGCAAGGGGAGCGGCAGACGGGUGAGUAACGCGUGGGAAUCUACCGAGCCCUACGGAAUAGCUCCGGGAAACUAGAAUUAAUACCGUAUACGCCCUACGGGGGAAAGAUUUAUCGGGGUUUGAUGAGCCCGCGUUGGAUUAGCUAGUUGGUGGGGUAAAGGCCUACCAAGGCGACGAUCCAUAGCUGGUCUGAGAGGAUGAUCAGCCACAUUGGGACUGAGACACGGCCCAAACUCCUACGGGAGGCAGCAGUGGGGAAUAUUGGACAAUGGGCGCAUGCCUGAUCCAGCCAUGCCGCGUGAGUGAUGAAGGUCUUAGGAUUGUAAAGCUCUUUCACCGGUGAAGAUAAUGACGGUAACCGGAGAAGAAGCCCCGGCUAACUUCGUGCCAGCAGCCGCCGUAA
rnacentral:rRNA from 1 species